rnacentral:rRNA from 1 species
AUUGAACGCUGGCGGCAUGCCUUACACAUGCAAGUCGAACGGCAGCACGGGAGCAAUCCUGGUGGCGAGUGGCGAACGGGUGAGUAAUAUAUCGGAACGUGCCCAGUCGUGGGGGAUAACGCAGCGAAAGCUGUGCUAAUACCGCAUACGAUCUCAGGAUGAAAGCGGGGGAUCGCAAGACCUCGCGCGAUUGGAGCGGCCGAUAUCAGAUUAGCUAGUUGGUGGGGUAAAGGCCCACCAAGGCGACGAUCUGUAGCGGGUCUGAGAGGACGACAAGCCAAUCUGGAACUGGGGCACGGUGCAGACGCCUACGGGAGACAGAAGUGGGGAAUUUUGGACAAUGGGCGCAAGCCUGAUCCAGCAAUGCCGCGUGCAGGAUGAAGGCCUUCGGGUUGUAAACUGCUUUUGUACAGAACGAAACGGCCCUUUCUAAUACAGGGUGCUAAUGACGGUACCGUAAGAAUAAGCACCGGCUAACUACGUGCCAGCCGCCGCCGUAA